GGCCACUCGAAAUGUAUUGUUUUCUGCUUCAGUGGUUGAGCCAAUCUCCGAUGGAAGCUCUAACUCUAGAGUUUCGAUUCAUCUUCUUCCUCUGGAGCCUGAAUUUCACCAGUUACACAUUCAUCUUCUUUUUAAAGUCCUCCUUGAUUUCAUCAUCCACAAUCUAUAUUUAUAGACUGCUUUGGUCUUGCAAGGCGGUGGAGGAAUCUCGGUUUAAAAAGGCGCUUUUGGAUUUCUGGGAAUCCGGAAAUGUUAAGAAAGAUGGUUAGAUCACGGGCUUUGAUAUGUUUUUGGUUGAUGGCAAAAUUAGUCUUUUCGACUAAUUCGUUAUUACUUACUUUCACCUUAGUAUUUUAAGUAAUCUACAUUUUCUUAUCGCCACCAUCCAUUAACACCUUCAAAAACCUCGAUUCAUAAGAAAGCUGGGAGCUUGACUAUUACAUUAUCAUCGAUUGUGAUUUACAAACAAUGAUUUCUUAACUGUGUUGGGUUUUCUAAUGAUGAAAUUAGAUGAACGUUUAUGUUAUUCUAACAUGUUUUCAAAGCACAUGAUCUAAUUCUACAGAUUGUGAUGAGUAUAACGAAAACAUGUUGAUGGUUUUUAAUACCGAUGAAUUGCUUGCUUUUGGCUUCUUUUGUUCUUUUAUAAUGUUACAAAAGAUUAAAGUUUUUUUUUUUGUUUUCUUUGUUUUCAAACAUGACGUUGUGAUUAAAUGGAGAUCAAAGCUAUCCGCAAGUGCACUUCUUGCUUUUCGGCGCAACUGGAUCAUAACCUUUGUACUUAAGUUAGACAAUACGGAAUGCAUGAGUUUCUAGAAUAUAUCUGAUAGAAGUAUUUCAAUGCAGAGAUGCUAACUGUGGAAAUACUGAAAAUCUAGAUUAAUUGUGCAUGUGUUGAAAACAGAAGAGAAAUCCACCAACAAGUUUCACAUACUCGGUGAUUAUUGGAAGACUUUUCACUGCCUGGAAAUUGAAGUGGGGCAUGGCUUCUGAAGAUAUAAGUAAACUCCAGUUCAAAUCACUUGCAAGUUACAAUAUUAUUACUAAAGUUAUCUAUGCAGUGUCAGUGGCGAUCCCAGGAAUGAAUUUGACUGGGGUCAAAAACAAUUAAAGGUCUUAUUGCCUGAUUUCGAAGACGGGUUAUGUGGGUUCAGAACAUCUUAUUUAACCAACUCUGUUACCGGUUUUUUAUUGUUUUCAAUAUAAAACGAAUUUUUAUCAUGAUUUUUGUGGUGUCAGGUGAUCCCACUCCUCUUCAAGUGGGUCCACCCCUGUGCAGCGUCAAAGAUUUGUUCAGGACAUUGAGUUAUUUAAAAGAGAUGAUAUCUCAAAAGUUGAGUCAUUAAGAUUGGGGUAAAAUUCGUGCUUCGGAAAAGGGAUGUACAUGCAAGGUUGGUUAGACCCUUUGAAGUUUUGCAGACUUACCGAAAGAGUUUUAGAGUAUUUGUCGAUAAUCGAGGAUCUGACUUGAAUAAGAGAUUAUGCCAUCCUUACACAAAUUGGCCGGAUACUUGAGACAUACCCCUGAUGAACCAAAACUUGACAAAUCGUUCCUAUGAACCAAAACGUGACCAUCAGAAACGAAACUCUGUGAAAUGAAGAUGUUGAGCAUUUAAGUUACAAAGCUUUUUGUUAAUUAUGACAAAAACUUAACACCUUUCUUCAUUGUCGUAUUUACCCUCUUCUAUGAGCUAAUAGGUCAUCACUGCAAUAAACACACUCUAGAAAUCAUCAAUGUAAAUGCAAGAAAAAGGUGUUAUCUUUAGGAUAUUCUAAACGGAGUGUCCAGAAACCAAAACAGAGUUUUGCAACAAUCCGUAUAUAUGUUUUUGAGUUAUAAACACUGCAGGGCAGUUUGUGAGUUUUUUUUACACAGCAAGACAGUUAUUGCUACUGAGACACUUUGUAGUGUGAAAAGUCAUAUUUUACCCUUGUAAAAAGGUAACUGGAUUUUUAUUUGGUUUGGGUCAUAGCUUUUCAAUUUUUUUAUGGUUACCAUUUCAAAAUUCAAAAAACGUGGUGGGCCCUAGAAAGAGAUAAGACUAAUUUUUCUAUCGAAAAGGGUGAGUAAUAUUCUUUUCAUUUCUUUUACCGAGAGAGGUUUCGAGAAAGUGAAAAGGCGACGGAAACAAGAUCUGCGACGGAGGAGAUGUCGGAACGACGGAAAAAGCAUGGAAAAGAUAAUGCCGAAGGGAUGUGCUAGAUGGAACCCCGGAGAUGUCGACGUUGUUGGGAUCUUGUUUUGGAGGUCUAUUUCAGAUACCUGUCCGUAGACUCUACAGUGGGAAGGUCGUACACAGCAUGAUGACGAGGCAAUUGGUUACUACAAAAAAAACGAGAUGUGGCCCGUUUUUGGGUGUGGAAGCGUGCCUGCGUGGUUAGUGAACACAUGUACAAUGCAUUAUGACAAUAUAGUGUACGUUAUAUAUUGUCGUAUGGGCACAACCUGUUUUUGUUGUCAUAUAUACAUCAUACCAGUAUAUGCAUGGUUGAAUGUACAUUUUAUAGUUGAUACGAGUAUAGACAUAGCUUGGAUGAACAAAAAAGAGAUAUCUUGAGUAUUCGUAUUGAAAAUUUUAUGUGUACUAAUAUGUGGUGUACAUGAGUGAAUUGUUUGUACGAUAAACGUAUACGAAAUAUCUAAUGUACUCCCUUUAAUUAUGUACAACGUAUUUUAAUAUUUACAUUAUGUGUACACAUCAACAUGUACACUAAAUGUACACAAAGCUAUCUCAUAUUUUAUACACAUGUACGCGUGCACGAUAUGUACACUGUCAUCUCAGCAUUCAGGCUGGUCGCCAUAACCCAAUCAUGUACACCACAACAUGUACACCCUUAUAUCAUGUACAACGUAUAAAAUGUUUACAUGAUAUAAGGGUGUACGUGUUGUGGUGUACAUGACUGGGUUAUGGCGACCAACAGUGUACAUGAUAAGAAUACGCAUAGCCUGAAUGCUAACAAAGUCUGUUAAAGUGAUCUGUGUUUUUAUUGUACAUAUGUAUAAGGUGGGUAACUAGAUGGUGUACAAAAUGGUCAUCAUUUCCCAGACACAACGUACGUUUACACAUGUACGCGGAAGGUGAGCGGCAAUGUAAUUUCAAAUACACAACGGUUGUUGUUUAUGUGUACACACAUUUCCAUGUACACGAGUUCAUGUAAGGGGUAAUACAUGUUUGCAGAACACGUCUAGUGGUGAGUGUACAUGUGGAUUUUUAAACAUAGAUGUAUAUUGUACAUAUUGUGGUUGUGGGUGUGGAAGUGUGCCUGAGUGGAAAGUGAACACAUGUACAAUGCAUUAUGACAAUAUAAUGUACAUUAUAUAUUGUCGUAUGGGCACAACCUGUUUUUGUUGUCGUAUGUACAUCAUACCAGUAUACACAUGUUUGAAUGUACAUUUUAUAGUUGUUACAUGUGGUGUAGAUGAGUACAAGGUGUGCACGAGACACGUAUACGAAAUGUCUAAUGUACCCCUUUAAAUCAUGUAUAACUUAUUAAAUAUUAACAUGUACACUAAAUGUACACAAAGCCAUCUCAUAUUUUGUACACAUGUACACGAGAACAUUAUGUACAUGUACACUGCCAUCUCAGCAUUCAGGCUGGUCGCCAUAACCCAGUCAUGUACACCACGACAUGUACAUUGUUAUAUCAUGUACAACGUAUAAAAUGUUUACAUCAUAUAAGGGUGUACAUGUUGUGGUGUACAUGACUGGAUUGUGGUGCAUGACUGGGUUAUGGCGACCAGCCGUGUACACGCUAACAAUAGUCAUAGCCUGGAUGUUGAGAUGAUAGUGUACAUGUAGUUGGACUGUUAGUGUACAUGUGUACAAAACAAUAGAUGGCUUGUGUACAUGUUAAUGUGUACAAGAUAUGUGGUGUAAACGAAAGUAUCAAAAGUAAUGAACAAAUUCAUGCUGCUGUUCGUUGAAAAGUGCUGAAAAAGAAGGAAACGCCUCCGUCGUUUGUCAGUAUAGCCGGUGGUUUCGUUAGUCCAGUGCAAGCUCUUUUGUGUUAGGUGGCCAAUAACUCAAUUGGGUCACGUGAAAGUGAAGAACUCCUUUGCCAUAUUGUUUUGUAGUUCCCGCAACGACAUGCUGCUCCGCACAGGUACGAUCCAUGACAUAUUCUUCUUAUCGAUUACGAAUUCCCAGAGAGAGCCGACGGAGGCCCAUGCCCCCGGGAUGACCAUGCAAUGCUCAGCCAUUACGAAUCUGCGAGAAAAAAAAUUAGUAUGUGCGUUAGAUUUUAGAAAAACUUUGUUUAAGCUUGGUUUAGCAAACAAACCUCAAACUUAGAAGCAGUAAUCUGAUUUGCAGAAGAACAAACCGUGCCAAAGCUAAAGACAGAGAGAAGGUUAAAUUGACUUUAUCAAACCCAAAAAAUCAGAACCGUUUGUGCAUAUGGUAGAAAGUAGAUCCAACGGUGUGGAAAUAUUUUGGUAGAUAUAUGUCUUGUCACUCGCUU